rnacentral:rRNA from 1 species
UACGUAGGGUGCGAGCGUUGUCCGGAAUUAUUGGGCGUAAAGAGCUCGUAGGCGGUUUUGUCGCGUCUGCUGUGAAAAACUGGAGGCUCAACCUCCAGCCUGCAGUGGGUACGGGCAAACUAGAGUGCGGUAGGGGAGAUUGGAAUUCCUGGUGUAGCGGUGGAAUGCGCAGAUAUCAGGAGGAACACCAAUAGCGAAGGCAGCUCGCUGGGACGUUACUGACACUGAGGCGCGAAAGCGUGGGGAGCGAACAGG